rnacentral:rRNA from 1 species
CCUACGGGAGGCAGCAGUGAGGAAUAUUGGUCAAUGGGCGCAAGCCUGAACCAGCCAAGUCGCGUGAGGGAUGACGGUCCUAUGGAUUGUAAACCUCUUUUGUCGGGGAGCAAGGCCCGCCACGUGUGGCGGGAAGGAGAGUACCCGAAGAAAAAGCAUCGGCUAACUCCGUGCCAGCAGCCGCGGUAAUACGGAGGAUGCGAGCGUUAUCCGGUUUUAUUGGGUUUAAGGGGUGCGUAGGCGGAAGGUUAAGUCAGCGGUCAAAUGUCGGUGCUCAACACCGGCCUGCCGUUGAAACUGGUCGUCUUGAGUGAGCGAGAAGUAGGCGGAAUGCGUGGUGUAGCGGUGAAAUGCAUAGAUAUCACGCAGAACUCCGAUUGCGAAGGCAGCAUACCGGCGCUCAACUGACGCUGAGGCACGAAAGCGUGGGGAUCGAACAGGAUUAGAUACCCGAGUAGUC